rnacentral:rRNA from 1 species
UACGGGGGGAGCAAGCGUUGUUCGGAUUUACUGGGCGUAAAGGGCGCGUAGGCGGUCAGCACAAGUCAGUUGUGAAAUCUCCGGGCUUAACUCGGAAAGGUCAACUGAUACUGUGCGACUAGAGUGCAGAAGGGGCAACUGGAAUUCUCGGUGUAGCGGUGAAAUGCGUAGAUAUCGAGAGGAACACCUGCGGCGAAGGCGGGUUGCUGGGCUGACACUGACGCUGAGGCGCGAAAGCCAGGGGAGCAAACAGG